ensembl:lncRNA
UCGUCUGCAUUGGACACGUCAAAGUGUGUUAUUUUUGCCGAAGGAUGAAGGAGGGCAAGGCUUAAUUCAUCUGAACAGUAGAGGGGCAACUUUCCGUUUUCAGUUCGUGCAGAGGUUUCUGUGUGGUCCCGUAGACCUAGUGUGGAGACCGUUGGCAUGUACGAUUUUGAACCAGUUAGGUGGACUUGGUCUAAACAGAACACUGUUUCUGAUGGACUUAAAGCAGCUCAACACUAGUGGAUUGCCAAGUUUCUACCGUGGGCUGUUCAAAGUCUGGAAUCUGUUUAAAACGGAGAGGACAGAGCAUCACAGGUCACUCUACUGGCUUCUUCAAGAGCCAGUUGUGUAUGGGACCCGUUUGAGUGCGGCCUGUCAAAUAGGUCCCAGUUUACUCAAACGAUUCUGUUUGUCCAAUGUACUGACUUUGGGACAUGUAAUUCACUUUACAGGAGCAAACAUGGACAAUGCUCAACUCCUUGCUUCUCAUUUAAAGGUGCAUUCUAUUCGCAUGAUAGAAUUGUUGCUCAAAAAGUGGAAAGAGGCUUUAACAGAUGCCGAGCGCACAUUGUUGCAAUUUUAUUGUGGUGGUCCUGUUCAACAUAGUGUUGAUGAUUUUUUUCCUUUGAUGAAGGUUCUCCCAGACUUUAAGGAUUGUACAGGGUUUUUUUUAGGAAUCAAUAAUCCCUGUCUGUCUAUUCAUGAUGCCGAUAAGAAAUUGUUAUACAGAUUGAUUGUAAAAAUUUUGAACAAAGAUAAGUUAAAUGGUAAAAUUGACACUCCAUGGAGAGCUCGCUUAGGUCUGAUAGACGGUGUUGGACCUGAAUGGAGAUCGCUGUACAAACCACCAUUGCUGAAGAAGGUUGCAGACUUGCAGUGGAGAGUUUUACAUACAGCUGUGGCUGUUAAUUCUUUUAUCUCUGUUUUAAACCCUGAUGUUAAUCAUGACUGUCCUUUUUGCACUCUUCGUGAGACAGUUUUUCACUGUUUUAUAGACUGUUGUCGUCUUGUGCCACUGUUCUCUAUGCUGGAAGAUCUUUUUAAAUUGU